rnacentral:lncRNA from 1 species
CUGGAAGUCGUCUGGGGCAUGAUAGGGCUUCAAGUCUGCGAUAUUGAAUACCGAAUGGAUGUGCAUAUCUGGGAGAAGUUCGACCUUAAAAGCAUUAUCUCCAUAUUUUUCUGUAAUGCGAAAUGGGCCGAUCUGUCUAUCCUUCAGCUUGUUGUACGUUCCAGUGGGGAAUCUGUUUUUUCUUAGGUGUACCAUUACUAAGUCCCCUUUGGAGAAAACAGUUUGUCUCCUCGUCUGCUGCUUUCUUAUAGGAAUUAGUGGAUUGGACAAGGUGGUCAUGAACUUCCUUGUGUAGUUUUUCGAUAUCCUCUGCCAUGGUUUCGGCCUCUUUGUGACUUUCCACAGUAACAGGGAGGGAUGCGAGGUCAAAUGUUAACCUCGGUCGUUUAGUGUAUACGACUUCAAAGGGGCAUUUGUCAGUCGAUCGGUUCUUCAUGUUGUUGAAGGCAAACUCUGCUUGUGCGAGGGACAAAUCCCACUGUUUAGGUUUAGAGCCACUGAGGCAGCGUAUCAAGUUACUCCAGUGUUCUGUUGGUUACUUCAGUCUGUCCGUCGGUCUGAGGGUGAGCUGUUGUGCUAUACUUCAGCGUUGUAUCAAACUUUCUCCACAGGGUCUUCCAGAAAUGGCUUAGGAACUUGACAUCCCUAUCGGAGACUAUGGUCUUAGGUACUCCAUGUAAUCGGGUGAUCUCCUUGAAGAAUAGGUUAGCUAUGUAUACAGCAUCAUUCGUUCUCUUGCAAGCGAUGAAGUGAGCCAUUUUGCUGAAUCGGUCAACAACCACCAUGACUGAAUCAUGGUUUCUUUGAGUCUUGGGGAGUCCGAGUACAAAGUCAAUUGAGAGAUCUUCCCAGAUUGAUUGUGGAAUCGGUAGUGGGGUAUAUAACCCUGCAUUAGUUCGGGAGCCCUUGGCCCGUUGACAAACGAAACAUCACUUCACAAAGUUAUUGGAGUCUUUUCUUAACUGUGGCCAGUAGUACCGUAUGGAGAUUGUUUCAAAGGUUUUAUCUUGCCCGAAAUGUCCGGCUAACCCGUUGGAAUGAGCUUCCUUUAUUAAGGCUUCCCGCAGGGAAGUGUGUGGUAUGCAUAAUUGGUCUCCCUUGAAGAGGAAUCCUUCUAGGAUGUGGUAUCCUUCAGCCCUUAGGUGAUUGGAGCAUUUAUGCCAGAUGUCUGCGAAGUCAGCAUCUCUUUCGUAUAGUUCUGGCAGGUGCUUGAAAGCAAUUAUUUAUGAGGAGAGAAGUGUGAGUAGGGAGCCUUUUCUACUCAGUGCGUCAGCCACCUUAUUCUCUUUUCCAGCCUGGUGUUUGAUAACAAAAUCAAAUCUCUGUAAAUAAGAUAUCCAACGGACAUGCAUCCGACUGAUAUUCUUUUGAGACUGAAGAUAUUUCAGGGAGAAAUGAUCUGUUAAGAGAACAAACUCUUUGGAGAGCAAGUAAUGUUCCCACUGCUUGAGAGCUCGAACUAAGGCAUAUAGUUCUUGCUCGUAUGUGCUCCAUGUUUGUCGUGCGGUGCUCAAUUUCUCACUGAGGUAUUCAAUCGGGUGACCUCGUUGGGCUAAGACUGCCCCAAUUCCUGUGCCACAGGCGUCUACUGCUACUUCGAAAGGAGAAGAGAAAUUUGGCAGUUGCAUAACAGGGCUAGAAGCUAACCUUUUUUUAUUUCUUCGAAGCUCUCCUGUUGGAAUGAAGUCCACUUAAAGUUCCCCUUCUUUAAGCAGUCGGUCAGUGGUGCGCAGAUGGAGCUGAAGUUCCUUAUAAAUUUUCUAUAGAAAGAAGCCAGUCCUAGGAAGGCCUGAACUUCUUUGACAGUGGUUGGAGCCAACCACUCUCGUAUUGCUUCAACCUUUCUUGGUUCCAUGCUUACCUCUCCUUUCUUGAUUAUAAAACCAAGAAAUGUAAUUUCAGACUUCAAGAAUUCACAUUUCUUUUGAUUGAUGUAUAGUUCCUUUUCUGUCAAUACUUGAAACAACUUUUUAAGGUGGAGCAAGUGUUCGUCGUUCCCACUGCUGUACACCAAUAUAUCAUCGAAAUAAACCACAAUGAAUUUGUUGAGGAAGGGGUGCAGUACCUGAUUCAUUAACCUCAUGAAGGUACUGGGAGCAUUGGAUAGGCCGAAGGGCAUUACCAUCCAUUCGAACAGCCCUUCAUUCGUCUUGAAGGCAGUCUUCCAUUCAUCACCUGGUCGGAUACGUAUUUGAUGGUAUCCACUCCUUAGGUCAAUCUUCGAGAAGAUGGUGGCCUUGCCGAGUUGAUCCAAUAGGUCUCCAACUCUUGGGAUAGGGAAUCUGUAUUUUACUGUGAUUCGGUUAAUGGCUCGGCUAUCUACACACAUUCUCCAACUUCCAUCCUUUUUGGGGGUGAGGAGAGUUGGGACAGCACAAGGACUGAGGCUUGGCUUAAUAUGCCCUUUCUUGAGUAGAUCUUCGAUAUGUUCAUGGAGUGCUGCAUACUCUUUAGGGGCCAUUCUGUAAUGAGCUAGGUUUGGCAAUGAUGCUCCGGGGAUCAGAUCUAUAUGGUGCUGAAUGUCUCUAAGAGGUGGCAGUCCGUCAGGUUCUUUCUUGAGGUGUGGGAACUCCUCGAAAAGUUGUUGUAAUUGUGGCUCCAACUCCCCAGUCUGUUCUCCAUUAGAGCUGCCUGUCAUCACAAGGGCUAAAAUAUCCUGCUUUCUUUCUUUUAAAAGAGUUUUGCCACUGCACGUUGUGAAUAGCUGGCCCCUUGUCUUACUGUUCUCCUCGUUUUUUUUUGUCAAAGGCAGCAGAGUUAUCCGUUUACCCAUCCAGUGGAAUUCGUAUGUGUUUUCUCUCCCCUUAUGCAAGGUUUGAGUGUCGUGUUGCCACGGUCUGCCUAGGAGGACAUGGCAUACAUCCAUGUCGAUUACAUCGCAUACGAUUUGAUCCUUGUAGCUGCUUCCGAUAGAAAGGCGGACCGUACAUACCUCGUUAACUGUGGACUCAUUCCCUUUAGACCCAUCCUAUCUUGUAGGGAUUUGGAUGUGGCUGAACCUUCAAGUUCAGGUUGGAGACUAUCUUCUUGAUUAUAAAGUUUUCACUGCUACCUCCAUCAAUAAUAACAUCGCAUACCUUCCCGUUAAUAGUGCACCUUGUCUUGAAAAGACUGUGGCGUUGUGGGCUCUUUUCUUCCUUGGGAGCAAUGAGUACUCUAUGGAUAACACAAGAGAUUCUAUCUCCUUCAUCGGCCUCAAUUUCUUCUGUUUCCUCUCCUGGUUCUGACUCAUCCUCGCCAGGUAAGUUGUCUUCUUCCUCAGCUAAGGCAAUUGUUUUUCUUUGAGGGCAAGAAUUUGAUAAGUGACCUGGUUGUCCGCAUCUGAAGCAUUUGCCCAAUGAUGGGCGAGUGUAAUUAUUUUGGUUCUUGCUUCUGUUGACUAUCUCUGCCUUCUUUUCAUAUGUUGCAGUCUGAGAGUCGGCUUCUUUUCCUUUUCCAUAAGUUGGUGCCAUCGGCUGAUCAUUUGACUUGCUCGCAUAGUUUGUCUUCUUGUUUGGUGUUGGUUCCCAUGUUCUUCGAUUCAUGGUGUUGGUCUUUAGAGCUAUCAUCUCUUCUACUGUUUCGGCCAAUGAAAUUGCUUCAGAUAGGAAACGGAGAGGCUGUAAUCUUACUUUUUCUUUAAUAUCAAAACGCAGACCCCCCACAAAUCUGGCUAUUUGAUGCUGCUCGUUCUCACUUAGAUUUGUCCUGGCACUUAAUCGGUGGAACUCUUCUAUGUAUUCGGUGACUGUCCUGGUACCUUGACGACAAUUCUGAUAUUGGUUGUAUAAGGUCUGCUCAUAAUUCGGAGGCAGGAAUCGUUCUUUUAAUAGUUUCUUCAUUUUUUCCCAAGAGCGUACGGGUCGUUUGUUGCAUCUUUGCCUGUUGGCUUCCAGUUGCUCCCACCAUGCUGAUGCGCCCCCUUUGAGUUUCAAGGCCACGAGACGCACCUUUUUCUGUUCAGGGGUGUCCAUGUAACUGAAAAAGUUCUCAGUACUUUUUAGCCAAUCCAAAAAGGAUUCGAUAUCUCUCUUGCCACUGUAUGAAGGUAAGUCAACCUUCAUCUUGAAGUCAUGAUGAGUCUCUGCCCGCGUGUCGAAUCUCCUGCCGUGUUGUCCUCUCUGUGUUUCGUCUAAGGCGUCCCAGGGGUUGUUCUGGUCGUCACUGCUCGAAGAUUCGUCUUCUUGCUCAUUAUGGACGUCGGCGUAGAAUUGUGGUGGUGGGUUGAAAUCAGCCCUUCCUCGGUUAGCAUAUCGUGGAUUGUGGAGAUUUCUGAAAUUUCCCCGUCCACGUUGUCUUCGCCUGUUGUUGAUCUCCCCAUCGUCUGCCAUUUCUGCUUCGAGCUGCGGUGGUGCCCGUAAUUCGUCCAUCCUUCUUGCCAAUAGUUCAAAGUUGUCCAUGACUCUAUCUAUCUUCCGGUGUAAAUCUCCCAAGGAGUCCUCGACGGCCAGCAAGCAAACCGUUGAUGUCCUUGGUGAGAGGGCGGCGGUGUCUUCCGCCUCUUCUUGCGCACGGUCGUCCCCCGCGGCUGGGUUGUUUCCUCUCCGGCCAGCCAUCCGUCCAAGAAUCGGGGCUGCUCUGAUACCACUUUGAUGUAAUUCAAAGCUGGAAUUAAUUUCUCUCUUUUAUUCAAGAAUCUAUUCUAUCAUUCUCAAUAGGAGAAUGAUUAUUUAUAGCUGUGAGUGUUGGUUGAGUGUAACUAAUCAGUUAUUGUAACUGAUUAGUUUGGAAAUAACAGCUACCAACAGCUAUUAACAGAAGAAACAGCUACUAACAAAAACAGUUGAAAACGGAAAUAACAGCUACUAACAGAUAAAACAGCUACUAACAAAGAAUGGUUAAAACAGAAAUAACAGCCAAUAGUAAGAUAGUUAGUGACUGUGUGAUUGCACUGUUUAUAAUUGCAUCAGUAUUUCAAACAGGCAAAACUAAAAUUAGAUUUAUAGAAACAACGUGUCCUCAUCCUUUCUCCCAAGGAAUGCUAUUCAUUAUGAUUUUAUCUUUUGAGUUUUAAAAUAAGCUAUUUAUUAUUCAUAUCUUUUCUUGUGCUAUCUAGAAGCUAACCAAACAACAUAGAGAAAGUACAUUUGUAUCACUAAUCAAUAUUUGAAAUGAUGAAGCAGAUUAAAUAAUACAGAAUUCAGGAAGUAGAACUUGCCUGCUAGUUGACUUCAGCUGCUCCCUGAGUUCCUUGAACUUGAGGUUUCUCAUGUUCUCAACAGUGAAAACAAAAACUGAGUUGUAAUUUUCCACACCCUGCCUGAUCGAUUCCACCAUUGAUUUCUUGUGGUCCCUUCCUUUUCUUCUUUGUUUUUGAUAAAGUAAUUGCAUUUAUCCCACGAACAAUUAGAUAGAAGACUUAAAACACUAAUCUGCAUAGGACUAAGUUCAUAUUUUUCCUCUUUAAAACACUAAUCUGCAUAGGACUAAGUUCAUAUUUUCCCUCUUUCUUUUUAAGUUAAAAACCACAUGAGUUUGACACUGAUUACUACCACCACAAGUCAUUUAACUUCUUCAACUGUCUCAUACUUUUCACAAGAAACUGCGUCAUACAAAUUAGCCCAUAAUAAAGCUAUCCAAAUUCCGAACCCCAUCUAAUUGGUUUCUGAAAUCAGUAACUCUCAUGGAAGGAAAAACUUGGACAGACUGAUGCAGAAAUUGAGAAAUGAAAGUUUGAAAAAGAUUCUUACAUCUUUGUCUAUUAGAAAAAAAAUUGAUUUCUUGUACUAGAAUCGUUGUUCCCUGCCAUUCUCAAAACAACCUGAAUAGUCAUGUUAAGAACACUGAGCCCUGCACUAAAGUUGAAAGAGGGGAAAAAACAGCAUGUUGAACAAAUGAAGGUUAAAUCAAAAGGAUUGAACUAUAGUUUCCAAAGUUUUCAUUUCUCUUAUAUUCACGUAAUAGUAAUAGUAAUUCCUCUUUCAAACAACCACUUUUGUUUCAACAAAGAGGACAAGGCUUAUAAUCCCUAAAUCGUUAGCAGUAUUGCUAUUUGGAGAAAAUGUUAAAGUUAAACAGCUGACAAUACCUUCCAGCCCCUACCACUACUAUCUUUUGGUUAACAAAAUCACUCAAUGGCCGCCCUUGAGCUCUCACAGUUCCCAAUAGUCCAACGAGAGCAACACCAGCAGUUCCCUUUAUGAAAUCAAAUAAACGAAAAUGAAUGUCCUUUUAAGUAAUUAUCAACUGCAUGAAUACAUCAUCAACUACUCACUUGUAUGUCAUCGUUGAACAUGCAGAACCUCUUACGAUAACAUUGUAAUGUUUCAAAAGCCCAUUUCAUUUGAAAAUCCUCAAACUGGCAUCAUUCAAAAUCAAAUUACGAGAUUACGAUACUGAUUACUGGCAGUGAACACAGUUAAAAAUUUGAUAUCUUAACCAAUAAACCUGAACAAUAGCUUUAGGCCAACAUGUAUGCACGGCUUCCAUAAAAUCAUCAACAAUUGAUAGAUACUCUUCUCCCUCCAAUCUAGGUAUUCCUAUUCCCUGAACUCCAAGGUCACCGAGGCCAAGAAUAUGACGUCCAUCUGUCAAGACAAUCAUGUCAACCUGUAGUUGGAAGAAGAAAAUACAAUGAACUUCAAAUAUGGUGUUGCUGGAAAUUAAAAGGGAUUUUCAUUUUUAUUUUGCUCAAAAUCAAUGCUCUUGAGCUUUUAAUGUCCCGAGGAAGGUGAAAGUUUCCCAAUAUAUCGUGUAUGGAAGUUUAAACUUUUCAAAGAAAACAAAGGUGAUCAACAUACAAAAGCCUCCUGUGGAUAGAAAAUUAAUCAAACAAAAAUUCGAUUGUUCUGUAGCAGUUUGACUUUGUUGUCAAGGAAAUUAAGAGUGAUAAGAAGGCGAGGGAGUGACUUUGAGUGGUGGCAAUUCGACAGCCAAGCAACUACACUCAAAGUUGCAGGUCGAAUAGGCAGCAGGAAGAAACGAAGAAGAAGAAGAAGAAAAGUUUUCGAUCUAUCAAACGUGAUCAUCAUACAAUAGAAAGUCAUUUAAAUUAUCCAAAUAUAUUUUGAAGUAAUUUUAACAUUUUCAAAAUAACUCUUAAUCAUGCUCUAAAUAUGGAAUGGAUUAUCUAUCCAACUACAAAUACAAAAGUUUUUCUAAAUCACUCUAACUAAUUAUACAAAUUCCACAACACAUAGAUCACAUGCUUCCCAAGAACCCACAAAAUUGUUCAAUGCGGCAUUUCAUCAAACAGUUGGUGGAUGGAGACAACAAAAACAAGUGUUUAACAAAAU